rnacentral:rRNA from 1 species
AGCAGCCGCGGUAAUUCCAGCUCCAAUAGCGUAUAUUAAAGUUGUUGCAGUUAAAAAGCUCGUAGUUGAAUUUCGGGAUCAAGGAAUCGGUCAUGCCUCGGUAUGUACUGGUUUUAUUGGUUCUCACCUUCUAAAGAACCAUGAUGUCAUUCAUUUGAUGUUAUGGGGAAUUGGGACUGUUACCUUGAAAAAAUUAGAGUGUUUAAAGCAGGCUUACGCUUGAAUACAUUAGCAUGGAAUAAUGAAAUAGGACAUCAGAUUCUAUUUUGUUGGUUUCUAGGAUCGAUGUAAUGAUUAAUAGGGAUAGUUGGGGGGCAUUAGUAUUCAAUUGUCAGAGGUGAAAUUCUUGGAUUUAUUGAAGACUAACUACUGCGAAAGCAUUUUGCCAAGGAUGUUUUCAUUAAUCAAGAACGAAAGUUAGGGGAUCGAAGACGAUCAGAUACCGUCGUAGUCUUAACCAUAAACUAUGCCGACUAGGGAUCGGAUGAUGUUU